GGCUAUUAUGUGGGAUGUGAGCUGGAGGUGAGGAGAACGGGGAAUGGCAGGUGGGGGCACGUAGAAACUCCAUAGGUUCCCAGGAGACAAAGCCAGUGAUGGAUUCUGGACUGGGCAGUGUUGAUAAAAUUUGCAGAUGGACUGACUGGCUGGCUGCUGGGAUAACAAAUACAAGGAAGGAUGAUUAAAUUUCUUGGUUUGAGCAGUUGGGGAUUCUGUGUUUCCAAAUAGGGGAGAGUGGAUGAGGAACAGGCUGAGGAGGAAACAUCUUGGGCUCUCCUUUGAACUGGGACAUUUAGAACUGUGACAGGAGAAGGGAAUACAGAUUAGUUGGAUUUUGCACCAGUGCCACAUUCUUGGGAACUCUCUGAGCUAGAAAUCGAGACUUGGAAGCAAUUGGUCACGGGACUGCGUGUGGCUAGCUAAGGGGAGAAUGCAGGCAGAAGACAAAAGAACCCAGAUACAGGGCUCUCUACACAUUACAAGAGGCAGAUGUCAAGGAGAAAAAGGUGCUACAUCCCUUCCUGCUCCCACAUCGCAAAUCAACUUCACAACACCAGUGACCAAUAAAGUAGGAGAGGCGCUGAGAGCAGAGCGUCACGGAAGAUAAAAAUGCUGUGAUCCAGGGAGCAGAUGGGUGACAUUGAGUAAGAUGAGAUGGCCACAGAAAAGGGACCAUCAGAUGUGAGACCAUGCAGUCAACUGUGCAGGAUUGCAGGAGUGGAGCCCUCUGAUACAGGGAGCUGCACUGUGGCCAAACAUCGCUAUUCCUUCAGGUUUGGAAACAAAUCGAGACUGUUUUCUUCCUGAGAAGCAAACACUUCAGAUAACUAGUGGCGGUUCUUAGAAAGAAUGUGAAUGGAUCUCCUCGCCUCCAAAGCUAUCUGGAAGCCUGGAGAGUAUAUUUAUGAGGAAAGAGCCUAACUAACAGUAAGAGAAGAACCAAAAGUCGUUCAUUCGGCUACCCUUCGAGAGACACUGUAUUUCCAUUACAAUCACCAUGGAAGCAUAGCGAUGUUUUAUACGUACUCAGCCCAGGGAGUGGCACAGUUAGAAGGUGUGGCUCUGUUGGAGUAGGUGUGUCGCUAUGGUCGUGGACUAUAAGACCCUCAUCCUAGCUGUCUGGAAUUCGGCCUUCUGCUAGAAGCCUUCAGAAGAACAUGCAGAACUCUCAGCUCCUCCUGCACCAUGCCUGCCUGGAUGCUGCCAUGCUCCUGCCUUGAUGA
rnacentral:sRNA from 1 species